AGAUCGAGAUCCCCCCACCCACCAGCGGUCUCCCGUCCCCCCCCCUUCCUCAACCUCCUCUCCUCUGCUGUCCAUCGGAGGCCCCCGCACACAACGGAAAUUGCUGCUCGGCGUCUCCAGCAGCCAAGGACGGGCUCCCGGCCUCCGCGCGGCAUCGUCUCUUCCUUCCCCGUCGCCAUCUGUCACCGUCGUCGUCCCGAUCCGGCCCUUCGCGCCGCAGGGUUUCUUAUAGAUGGCAGCUGCUUGGACGCGGACGACACACGAUCGAGUGGGGGAGAGGGAGACAGGAUGAUGGACGCCUAUACGGGUGUGGGGGAUCCCUGACAGCGGAUCGAGAGCAGCAUGAGCUGUAUUUGUAGAAGAUAGCGACAGAGUGGGAAGGUUUGUGCAAAGUUCUUCUCCUCCGUCGCCGUCCGUGACAAAGCUGCUGGGUGCAUCCGUCCAUCAUCUUCAGAUCUGAGUGAAGAGGGCAUCCGUCCAUCUCAAAAGGCGAUGGCUCCACGACAUCUACAAUCAGUAUUUGCAUGUUCUUAGCAGACAAAUCUGGGAGAAUGUACUAGCUGCAUAUAUUGGUUCUUGGGUUUACUAUUAGAGCUUUUUAUCUGCAUAUAUAUAUACAUAAGAGUGAGAAUGCCCAGGUAUGCGACCCUAAAUUUAGUUUCACUGCUUUCUUACUCGUGGGAUUUAUCCAAUUAAUAACUAUAAUGGAUUAAUGAGAAAAAGACAAGGGAAAUUAGCUUUAUAAGAAUGAAACUAUUCAUGGUAAACAUUUGGCAGAAGAGAAUCACAAAAUGAACAACAACCUCCCUCAUGGGAAACAUCAGGUGUGGUAAAAUGCUCACUUAAAAAAAUAGAAACUAGAGAUUACUUCCUAGUUUCCUUUUGCCUCGUUGCUACUGGUGUUGUCUGUUUAGGUAACCCUCUGCCUCAUGGUGUUCAUCUGGUUGGCACCAAUCUGCUAAGUAUACAUAAAGUGAAUUUGAGUUAUAUAAAUAUGCUAACUAUCUACAAGACAUCACUAACAUAGAACAAAAUGAUGUAGUCUAGAGUUCAACAUGACUUUGUUUUUUCUGCACUUUUUCGUAAGCAUACCAAAGCGAAUCCAAUGUCAAGCCUUUGAAAGUUUGAACCAUUGAUCUGCUCUAUGCUCCCUAUCCAUUUUCACAUCAAUUAGGUGCAUCGACAUUGACAUCUACACGGGGCUGGGGUGGCGGCGUUGACGGCAUCAACAUCGACACGGGGCUGCUGCAGCGAUGACGACGGCAUCCUCACGGUGCUGUGGCACCGACCACGACGACGACAACAUCAUCACGGUGCUGCGGCGGCGGCGACACCGACGACAUCAACACGGGCUUGUGGAGGUGCCGACGCUGACGACCUAUACGUGUGGCGUAUAUUGUAUAUAUAUAUAUAUGUGUGUGUAUUAAUUAUCUAUAUCAAAUAUGUAUUAUUGACUGUAUGCAAAACAUGUACUAUUAUGUAA